UUUUCGAUCCGCCAUCUGCGGUGGAGCCGCCACCAAAAUGCAGAUUUUCGUGAAAACCCUUACGGGGAAGACCAUCACCCUCGAGGUUGAACCCUCGGAUACGAUAGAAAAUGUAAAGGCCAAGAUCCAGGAUAAGGAAGGAAUUCCUCCUGAUCAGCAGAGACUGAUCUUUGCUGGCAAGCAGCUGGAAGAUGGACGUACUUUGUCUGACUACAAUAUUCAAAAGGAGUCUACUCUUCAUCUUGUGUUGAGACUUCGUGGUGGUGCUAAGAAAAGGAAGAAGAAGUCUUACACCACUCCCAAGAAGAAUAAGCACAAGAGAAAGAAGGUUAAGCUGGCUGUCCUGAAAUAUUAUAAGGUGAGCCAGUUAAAGGGCAGAAUGUCAGCAAAGUCUUGGCUUAUUUGGUCAAUAUUUUCUUGGACUUAAGUAUCCAAUAUUAUCCCACUUUGGUUUAAAUGAGGUAUUCUGGAAAUGAGAAAUUCAGACUUUCUGGGGUUUUUCCUGUUUGGUAUUUGAAAUCAGUUAUGUAAUAGGGUUCUGAGUUUAAAGUCGAUU
rnacentral:sRNA from 1 species